GGCUAAGUGGCAGUAUCUCUUCUUUAGCUUAAUAACUAGUAGUUCUAAUUUGCUAUUUUAUAGUCUUAGCACAUCACACAAGUGAGUGAUGAGGAAGAGGAUGAUGAUGGCUGUGACCUUUUUGCUGACUCUGAGAAGGAGGAGGAAGAUAUUGAGGACAUUGAAGAAAAUACUAGACCUGUAAGGAAGGCUGUAGUUGCUAUCACUUGGCAGGGUUUUAGAACCAAUGACUUUUUUUAUUUUUUGUUGUGACUUACUUUGUACAUCUCUCAUUUUUGCAUAUUUGUCAUUUCAUUUACACUUUGGAAAAUAAUGGCAAGCAUCUCAAAUUGCCUCACAAGUACCACUUGCUUGUCCAGAUGUUAUGAUUUUAUGAGUCAGAUCAUUCAGAAUAUGUCUGGUUCCAGAGUUUGAAGACCGUAGUGCUCCUGUCUCUCUGCCCAUGACCUUUUUCUUAUUUUCUUAUUCAGAUUUUUAAGUAUUAAAGUCAAGUAUUAAAAAAAAUAAGGAAAUAAAGAGCAUCUCCCUUUGAAGGAACAUUUUAUGAGUCCUAUUCCUUGGGUGAGCUGUAUAGGGUACAUAUGUUUAAGUUCAUUUAAUUAAACUCAGUUUUCUCCUCAGUUCAAUUUCUUUGCUCUUGUAUACAUAAUGUUGUUAGGUGUCCAAAGUGAAGUGUACUAGUUUGUUACAAAAAAGAGAUUCUUUUGAUUUCUCCUGCUUUAGAAAAGCAGACCUACUUCGUUUGCAGUGAGCUGGCUGCCCGCAUCAAGGGGGAUGCCGUGGGCUGAGUGGACGAGGAGCCGACAACCUUACCCUCAGGAGAAGCAAAACCUCGGAAGACACUCGAGAAGAAGGAAAGGAGAACUCCUUCAGACGAUGAAGAGGAUAACUUAUUCGCACCCCCCAAGCUGACCGACGAGGACUUCUCACCAUUUGGCUCUGGAGGCAGCCUGUUCAGUGGGGGCAAGGGGCUCUUUGAUUAUGAGGACGAGGAGGUGAGUCCAUGGCACUCAGCAACACUCCCUGCAGCUAGCUGUGUCAGGGGUCCACAGGGAAGAAAUAGGCUUUGCUUGUUGAGUGGGGAAAAACAGUUUCUCAGUUGGAAGUUGCUUCUAUUUUCAUAUUUUGGGACAUUUUGA
rnacentral:lncRNA from 1 species